GAUGAAACGCUGGCGAGAUGCCUUAUACAUGCAAGUCGUACGAGAGUUUUUAACUCAAGUGGCGGACGGGUGAGUAACACGUAAAGAAUUUGCCUUUAGGAGGGGGACAAACAACUGGAAACGGUUGCUAAUACCCCAUGUGCUUUCGAGUGAAAAUGGAUUUUUUCCGCCUAAAAGAGAAGCUUGCGGCUGAUUAGCUUGUUGGUGAGGUAAUGGCUCACCAAGGCGACGAUCAGUAUCUGGUUUGAGAGGACGAUCAGACACACUGGAACUGAGACACGGUCCAGACUCCUACGGGAGGCAGCAGUAGGGAAUUUUCCGGCAAUGGGCGAAAAGCCUGACGGAGCAAUCUCGCGUGAGGGAUGACUGCCUAUGGGUUGU
rnacentral:rRNA from 1 species